rnacentral:rRNA from 1 species
AUGAACGCUGGCGGCGUGCCUAAUACAUGCAAGUCGAGCGAACAGACGAGGAGCUUGCUCCUCUGACGUUAGCGGCGGACGGGUGAGUAACACGUGGAUAACCUACCUAUAAGCCUGGGAUAACUUCGGGAAACCGGAGCUAAUACCGGAUAAUAUAUUGAACCGCAUGGUUCAAUAGUGAAAGACGGUUUUGCUGUCACUUAUAGAUGGAUCCGCGCCGCAUUAGCUAGUUGGUAAGGUAACGGCUUACCAAGGCAACGAUGCGUAGCCGACCUGAGAGGGUGAUCGGCCACACUGGAACUGAGACACGGUCCAGACUCCUACGGGAGGCAGCAGUAGGGAAUCUUCCGCAAAGGGCGAAAGCCUGACGGAGCAACGCCGCGUGAGUGAUGAAGGUCUUCGGAUCGUAAAACUCUGUUAUUAGGGAAGAACAAAUGUGUAAGUAACUAUGCACGUCUUGACGGUACCUAAUCAGAAAGCCACGGCUAACUACGUG